rnacentral:rRNA from 1 species
UACGUAGGGUGCGAGCGUUAAUCGGAAUUACUGGGCGUAAAGCGUGCGCAGGCGGUUUUGUAAGCCAGAUGUGAAAUCCCCGGGCUUAACCUGGGAAUGGCAUUUGGGACUGCAAGGCUGGAGUGUGGCAGAGGAGACUGGAAUUCCUGGUGUAGCGGUGAAAUGCGUAGAUAUCAGGAGGAAUACCGAUGGCGAAGGCAGGUCUCUGGGCUGACACUGACGCUCAUGCACGAAAGCGUGGGGAGCAAACAGG